UAUAAUAAUGUUGCACAUUUUCGAUUCUACUUUUUUUAUUUCUUCUCUUAUUUUUAACUAUUUCAUGAUAGAGUAUUUUGCGUGUUUUUGUGCGGGGCUGUGCAUUGUUAUGUUUUUUUUUACAUGAAAUAAAGUAAAUAAAAUAAUUUUAUAAAUAGAGCUAUUUGAAA